UACGGAGGGAGCGAGCGUUGUCCGAAGUUACUGGGCGUAAAGCGCGCGUAGGCGGGGGAUUAAGUGAGAAGUGAAAGGCUGAGGCUCAACCUCAUGCAGUGCUUCUCAUACUGGUCCUCUUGAGGGUGGUAGAGAGAAGUGGAAUGGCUGGUGUAGCGGUGAAAUGCGUAGAUAUCAGUCGGAACACCGGUGGCGAAGGCGGCAUCCUGGACCGACACUGACGCUGAGGCGCGAAAGCUAGGGGAGCAAACAGG
rnacentral:rRNA from 1 species